GGGAGCGGGGCACGGCGGGGCCGGGCCGCCCCGGGGCUCAGCCCCGUCCCCGUCCCUGUCCCGCCCCGCCGCCGUCCUCCUGAGGAGAGGGCGCCGGGAGAGCCCCUCCGGCGCGAUCCUCCCGCCGGGGGAAGGUGGAGGGAGGCGGCGGACACGAGGAGGAGAGCGGCGACCCCGGCCUGGGGCUGAGGGCCGGGGGUGCAGGCUCAGCCUGGCCCCCGCGGGGAGCGGGGUUUGCUCUGGGGGAGCCCCCUCCUUGCUCCGGCCCCCUGGGGUCGCGGAGGUGCCAGCAGCUCGGCCCCAAAAGCUGCUGGGGGGGACGAGGGUGGGCACCGUGCUGUGGGGUACAGCGGGACACGCACCCUCCGGUUUUGGUCCUUUAUCCUGUAAAGCUGGGGGAGAUUCUGCUCGCUAGACUGUCGUGGUUUGGGUUUCGCUGUUUCAGCGGAAGGGAAAGCUGAUAGCUCCCCGUCAGCGGUCACAGAACGAGCUCGCUGCAGCCUGCUCGCGCCACCCUGCUCUGCACGAGGCCUUCUCAGAGGAAGCAAUGAAACCCCCGUAAGCAAUCUGGGUCAUUCCAGACUAAGGAAGUCUGUUGAUGCCAGUCUUUCAGGCACUGCUCUCGGGCUGACGUGCUGAGAUAGUCAACUGUGCAAGUUAAAAGGAAGGAAAUGGCUAAAAAGCUUCCUGGCACCUUCCCCGCUCCCUGCUGGAUCCCCCCACUGUGCCUGUGAUCACGGUGCAGCCAUUGCAGGACGCCCUGCUCCGUCCGUGCCCACACGCCUUGGGGCAGGGCACCAGGUGUCCCCAGCCUGCGGCAGGCAUCCAGGCAGCCGUGGCUUCUGCCUGCCAGAUGUGCUGCGGUCGGCGUGGGUAGGUGAUGCGAGUCCUCCACACCUCUCCCCCACCCAGGGCUUCGGCCUCUCAGUGGAGGGAGGGGAGAGGAAGGAUGGAGGGGUGGCAGCAGGGGGGAGCAACACGGGGCUCCUGAUCAAAGCCAUCUGCUAGCAGGCAGGGGGCAAAGGGAGGAGGAGGGCAACACGCUUCUGACCCAUCCACAGAAAACAAGGGAGAGGAGUGUUGUGAAAUAAUGUAGUUUCUCCAUGAGCUGCCUUCCACAAAGGCUUCAGAGUUGAUUCUUGGUUUUCGUGCCCUGCUGCAGCCCUGUAUAAUGCUCCUCUUGAGGCAGCUUCUGCCCCGAAGAUAAGCAAAGCUGUGGGGAGGUGCAGAGGUGGGGGAGAGGCUGCGGGUAAGAAGAAAAGGGAGGCCAACUCCGGUUGAGUGAGGGUGCUGGGUGCUGUGCUGCUCUCACACAAGCUGUGCUGUGUCUGAUCUUCAGCCCCUCUCACCACCAGUAGCUGAGCUGCAGCCUCAGGAAGGGCAGGAAGCAGAAGCGGGCUGUUGAGUAACAUUUGGUACAGAGAGGAUUUGGGGAGGGGGAAUUGCAUGUGAGGCAUUACCAGAGCAUGACAGAGCAAAUCCAGGUGAACUGCAAUGCUCUCCCCUGCAGGGCCCCUCAGUGCCUGUCCUGACCUUUCGUGCCAGUCCUGCUGUCAACCCACACAUGCAUCUCCUGAGCCUCUUCUGGUCACAGGGGUGAGGCAAAUGUGAUGUGAAAUGCAGCUAGAUAGCGUUAAAAUGCUGCUUGCAGUUUUAGGUCCCGAGUUUUAAGCAGUGCGGUUGUUUUCUUAAUGUUUGUGGAUGAUUUUGAAUACUCUCAGUCAAUGUGGAAGCAAGAGUGUGGAAUGUAAAGGUUUCCCCACAGUCCUGGGACCCUCCAGAUAAUUAUUGUAGGGAAGGAUUUGAUGAUGCCAUUAAAUAGAUUAAUACAUUUAAAUGCUUGCCAAUAAAACCAUCACCAGCUACCAAAA